UUCAGUCAGGAUUCACUUGUGCUAAGGAAAUCAGAAAAAUGGACUUUUCUGGGCUUCCAAGAUGUGUGUUUAUCGUUCUAUAUAAGAAGGUCCCCAAAAUGUGUUCUGUGAAUACUGAGGUUCUGUAUCAUGCUAAUAGAUGCUCUAUGGCAAAAAGGGUUUCCCAGUCAAAUGGGAACAGGAAAUGCUGUAUAUUCUAUCUCUGCCUUAGACGUUCACAGUGUAUGUUGCCAUAUUGCUGAGAAGUCCCGCAGCAAGGAAACCUGUUGAUCUGUUGUCCCCCCAGAUAAACUCUUUUCAUGGAAAAACUGUUUCAAGCUUUAGAUCAUAGCUCAUGAAAUGACUGCUCGAAAGUGUAAACAGAGAACAAAAUUGAUUAUUUUCAGGCUGAUCAUAAAAUUUCUGGAAAUGUCUUAUUCUCAUUCAGCACCACAUAAACAUGAAAUUAAUUCUUCAUUCCAGACUGAAUUCCUGAACACCCUCCACAAACCAGGCUGCAGGCCAGGCCCUGUAUCCAUGAUAGGUCAUGGGUAGUGCUCUGAAGUCUCUGUUGGCCCGGGUAGGACGAUGAACAAUAAAACAGACGAUUAAGGUCAGAACAUUGUGGUAAAUGCUCCCCUAGCAAAGAGUUGUGAGGGAGCACGUCGCAUAGUAUCCAACGCCGUCUGGGAUUUGCGCGUAAGAUUUCUACCUCCUCGCCGAGGCUUGAAGGUGUAGGAAUCGAAGUCAGCCCACUCAAGAGUGACGAUGGAGAAAUGUGUUUGAAACCCACAAAGUGAACGCAGCAGGCUGAAGUCAGAACAGUGGGAGCAGUCAUAAAAUUGGGUCGAACCCCACGAAGUUGCUAUUUUUUUGUAGGUCAGUGUCAAAUAGUCAAGUAUCAGCAAUUUCAUACAGUUCUACAUAAUACUGAGCUAGGAUUUAUCAAGCCCUUAGUUUCUACAAGACACUAAAUGAAUCUAUUUGCAUACUGUUUAGUGUCCCCAGUAAACUGAUAAGUUACAUACUGCUUUUAUCCACAUGUAUACAGAAAAGAAGGUGAGUACAGAGAAGUUAGAUACUUGCCCAGGAUCACAGGGCUAGGAAGUGAGAGAGCCCAGCUUAACAGACACCUCAGCAACCCGAAUUUAAGCCGGCUGGAGCCACAUCGUGCGGGUUGAAGGUUAUGUUGACCCAUAUUACGGAGGUACCAUUAAAAGGUUUUUGUGGUUUGAUACAUGUUUAUAACAACUUUAUUCAUAAUCUCCCCAAAUUGGGAAUGUUGUAAAUUUGCCUCAUGGCUACCACCAGGAGAAUGGAUAAACAAAUUGCAAAUGUAGUCAUAUAGUGGAUUAUGGCUCACUCAAUCUAGGGGCACAUGGCCCCAGCACACCUCAGAGUUGUGCCCUUGAUGAGAACAGGCCAAAGGUUGCCCCAGCCAUCGGCACCUAACUAGGGGGCACCGUGAGCUCAGAGGCCAGCACCUAAAGAUCUGGAGGGAGGUGCUCUGCUUUCUUGGGGAGACUGGACCCUCCUGGCACCUGGGUUAGUAUCUUAGAAGUAAGAGGUGGCAUCAUAAAACCUUGGAGUGUGAUUAAUACUUCACUGAGUCUGUCUUAAA